AGGGACAAUCAGUAAUAUUUGGGGCAGAGUACUGAGGGACCUCUUGAAGUCUGCAACAGCAUGCAUUUUCUUUGUUUUUGUGGGAGUGCUUCCCUGUAGCUGUCUUUGUUCUAGAACACUGCUCCAAAUUUAUUUCCAUGGGAUGUAGGGCUAGUAGCCCAUGUGAAAGUCUUCUGUAAUCUCCUUGGGGUGUGAGUUAUUGGGUUAUUCUAACAGGAGUUUUCCAAAGGGAUGGCCCAUUUUUAAUUCAACAUUUGCUUUUUGAAAAUCCAGAAGUAGACAGUUGGAUAUAAUAGUGGUGGAAGAGCAUGGGCUGUAAGCAGAAGGAAAUAGAGAUGACAAAUGCCUCUUAAAGGGGAUCUAGUUGAUACCUCUGUUAAAUAGUGGGAGAACACAGUAGCUGGUACCUUACACUGUGCUUUAGGAAAAUCCUAUGAGGAUUUCAUUUACAAAUCCUCAUAGGAUUUUCUGGGUUGAGGGACAAUGCAACUAUUAAGUAGAGGGAGAGGGAGAGGGAAAGGGAGACAUGAAGCACUGGGUCUAUGUGAAGGGACAGGCAGAUAUACCCAAAGAGGGAGAAAAUACUUAAUAAAGGAAGAGUAUAGCUGCAAAACAAGACAUAUAGGAGCUGAAGGCCAGAUAUGGCAGAAACCAGCUGGAGAAAGAAGCACAGGACAACUAGGACAACUUAGUCAAGCACAAUCUGUCAUUCCAGUACGGACUACCAAGUUCAAUUCAGGAUGCUUCAGUUGAAGACAUGUGGGGUAAUGUGCUCAGCUCAUGAGGGUCCAAGGAGUCCCCAUUUUCCCUAUCACCCUAUCCUAUGCUCGUGGUUUGGAUUGUUAGCACACUAGGCAAUUUCAGAGUCCGCUCUAGAGUUGGUUGCCACGUCAGUGCAGACAGACUCUAGAAUCCUCUUAACCAUGGAAUGCAAGGCCUGUUCCUGUGGAUCUAUCCUGACUUGAGUAUGUCAGUACUGUUGGGAAAAUGAGUUCAAGAAUAUUUCAGUUUAUAUAUCCUGGUUGCCGUCAUAUAUUUUUUCAUUUCACCACUUGUUUGUGUUUGCCUCACUCAACAGUCAUGGGUGUAGAAGCUGGUUUCAGCUUGGGGCUGUUACAAACUCCCUACAUAAGCCAUGUAGCUGCAAUCCAGGGUUCCUCCCACCCUACGGCUUUAGCGGUGGGUUCUCUGGCCCUCUUGAUAACAAAUACUCCAGUCUAAUGGCUAUAUUAAUGCUGCUCAGAGGCUAUUAACUCAAAUCCUUGAUGUGUUUCAUUUACAAUUAUGUGGAUUAUUUAUUUUAGGAGCUUUUUUUUUUUUUUUUUUUUUUUUUAAGGGCCAAAUAGCCCUACAGAUAAAUGAGCUGCUGGGCUGUGUAGAAAAUAUUGUCCAAAUGUUGCCAAAUAUUGACUUCGUAAAGGGGAUAUCAAGCUGCUGUUUAUAAAUCUGAAUGUCUUAAAAGCAUUCUUGCUUGCUCUCUCUGUUAUAGAUGGUGUCUUAGCCAGUCCUGAGUUUUCCAAUGAACCCAAUUUUAAUAUAUGGUAUUUUUGUAUGCCAAACUGGUGUCUUGUCCUUUGUAUAUGUGGUAAUGUUGAUUUUAUGACUACCGUAAAAACACAUUUGCUAUGAUUAAAGUUCAUAAAAUGAUUUCAAA
rnacentral:lncRNA from 10 species